rnacentral:rRNA from 1 species
AGUCGAACGGUGAAGCCCUUCGGGGUGGAUCAGUGGCGAACGGGUGAGUAACACGUGGGAAAUCUGCCCUGCACUCUGGGACAAGCCUUGGAAACGAGGUCUAAUACCGGAUAUGACCUUCUCCCGCAUGGGGGUUGGUGGAAAGCUCCGGCGGUGCAGGAUGAUCCCGCGGCCUAUCAGCUUGUUGGUGGGGUAAUGGCCUACCAAGGCGACGACGGGUAGCCGGCCUGAGAGGGCGACCGGCCACACUGGGACUGAGACACGGCCCAGACUCCUACGGGAGGCAGCAGUGGGGAAUAUUGCACAAUGGGCGAAAGCCUGAUGCAGCGACGCCGCGUGAGGGAUGACGGCCUUCGGGUUGUAAACCUCUUUCAGCAGGGAAGAAGCGCAAGUGACGGUACCUGCAGAAGAAGCACCGGCUAACUACGUGCCAGCAGCCGCGGUAAUACGUAGGGUGCGAGCGUUGUCCGGAAUUAUUGGGCGUAAAGAGCUCGUAGGCGGCCUGUCGCGUCGGAUGUGAAAGCCCGGGGCUUAACCCCGGGUCUGCAUUCGAUACGGGCAGGCUAGAGUGUGGUAGGGGAGAUCGGAAUUCCUGGUGUAGCGGUGAAAUGCGC